GGGGAUUUGGCUCAGUGGUAGAGCGCUUGCCUAGCAAGUGCAAGGACCUGGGUUCGGUCCCCAGCUCCA
rnacentral:tRNA from 1 species